GUCCUGUCAGGAGAAACUAAAGUGAAAGAAAACUGUAGCCUAAGGGUAAAUGACUGUUUUAUUUAAGCGUGAAUGCUAAUGCUAUUUAUGAUAAACUGAAAUUGUUAAUAUGGUUUUAUGAAGGUUUCGUCCUUAAAACAAGCCUAACUAAGAAUUUUAGUAUUUGAAAUCUAGGAAAAACCAACAUUUAUUCAUAAUUAGCCUAGGAAACGGUCGAGAGGACUUAGAUUCCCGGGUCCCGGGUCUGAAAGGGUUAACUUAAAGUUUCUUUACUUUCUUACCACUUCACUGACUUCACUCACUAAAGUAAAGUAGUGUUUGUGUUUAGUGUAGCAGCUUAGCCCGAUUAGUUUCGUCGUUUUCGUUUCGAAUUUCGAAAGUAAGAAAGAAACUUGAGAAAAGGAAACAGCACACCAGAAGAUAGUUGGCUACAAUAUUAUUUUAGAAAGUUCAUUUUAAAAAUUAAGUGCAGUUCAAGUUAGACCUAAAGGAAGCUAGGCUAGACUAUUCCCGACCAUACUAGGCCAGAAAAUUGUAGAUGAAUAACUGAACACGGUGAGCUUGUCGUCCAGCAUUAUUCCUAGGUACUUGAACAGAACCUGGAUCUGAUUACCGAAGAGAGUUGGUAUUCUAGUGAUAUGUAAUGGUACCAUUACAGU